rnacentral:rRNA from 1 species
ACAUGCCUACACCAUAGUGUUAAUGCAUCAUUUCCCAUUAGAACUCCACAAUUAAGCGCACUCAGGCUAGAGUAGUAUUGGGAUGGGUGACCACCCGAGAAGUCCUAGGGUUUUACAUGCC